rnacentral:ncRNA from 2 species
UUAAGAUACUCCACCACAGGUGCCCGUUAUAAUCGGGGUAAAAGGGAACCGGGUGCGAUUCCCGGGCGGUCCCGCCACUGUAACCGGGGAGGUCCCUUGCGGUAAUGCCCACUGUCUCUCAUCCCGCCACGGGUAAGGGAGAUGGGAAGGGGCAAGGGCUGAAGAUCCGGAGCCAGGAAACCUGCCUGUAGUGUGGCUCACCC